GAGGAAGACUGUGCGAGUAUGAAGGAAUAUAGAACGCUGCCCGAGUCGUUCCCUCUUCUGCUUCACGGGAUGUAAAUUGCCACGCAAGACAGCAGCAGCCCUGGCUUGUGAAAUUCCCGAGGCAAACCCUUCUGAGCCCUCAUGAAGGUGAAGAGGCAAAGACAGAGGCAGAAAGUAGAUGAGAAGAACAUCAGGAGCCAGCGGAUGCUGAAAGAAGCAAGGGAUGCUCCUC